rnacentral:rRNA from 1 species
UUCCGGUUGAUCCUGCCGGACCUGACUGCUAUCGGAUUGAUACUAAGCCAUGCGAGUCAUUGUAGCAAUACAAGGCAGACGGCUCAGUAACGCGUAGUCAACCUAACCUAUGGACGGGAAUAACCUCGGGAAACUGAGAAUAAUGCCCGAUAGAACACUAUACCUGGAAUGGUUUGUGUUCCAAAUGAUUUAUCGCCGUAGGAUGGGACUGCGGCCUAUCAGUUUGUUGGUGAGGUAAUGGCCCACCAAGACUAUUACAGGUACGGGCUCUGAGAGGAGUAGCCCGGAGAUGGGUACUGAGACACGGACCCAGGCCCUAUGGGGCGCAGCAGGCGAGAAAACUUUGCAAUGUGCGAAAGCACGACAAGGUUAAUCCGAGUGAUUUGUGCUAAACGAAUCUUUUGUUAGUCCUAGAACCACUAACGAAUAAGGGGUGGGCAAGUUCUGGUGUCAGCCGCCGCGGUAAAACCAGCACCUCAAGUGGUCAGGAUGAUUAUUGGGCCUAAAGCAUCCGUAGCCGGCUCUGUAAGUUUUCGGUUAAAUCUGUACGCUUAACGUACAGGCUGCCGGGAAUACUGCAGAGCUAGGGAGUGGGAGAGGUAGACGGUACUCGGUAGGAAGGGGUAAAAUCCUUUGAUCUAUUGAUGACCACCU